GCCCGGCGUUCUGGCUGACAACAUGUAGAGCACAAGAACCAUCUGGUCGACCCACAGGCCCGACGAGAAAAUAGUCAACAGUUCAUUGUUCAUUCAAGCUCCUGAGUUUCGGCUCCUGAGCCCUAAGCUGGAAUGACACCCUCUGGCUACUCUCCUGAGAGAGAGGACAGACAGAUGCCGGAACAGACCUCAGACCUAAAGAAACGGUUCCUUACCCUCCUCUCCCCUCCAAGCAGUGAGCUCCCAGCACCUCCCCACCCCGAACCCGGUGCCCUGUUGUGCUAGGGGGAGGGACCGAGGCAUGGAAAGGUUACCAAUUGUAUUAGGGUCCGGAAUCGUGACAGAGAAAAAUUGCUAGAUUGUCUCAGAAAACAAUGUAUUAUGAUUCAACCCAGCCAGGUGUGACUCCUUUUACCUCCCCUUUGUUCUUGUGAACUUUUUUUUUGUAAACUUCUAAGGAACAGCUAAUGAAAUGCUUUGUAGUUUUUUUUUUUAAAAACACUGUGUAGUCUUUGCAAUAAAAGAUUUUGCUGUACCCUCGUUCGGCACUGCAGGCUGCGAAGCCCCUUACUGAAGGGAUGCACUGUAGUCAGCUGGCCAGCUUAAUAAAGGCUCUUAAAUUUAAA